AAGAAAUGAAGCUCACUUGAAAUUCCUUUAUUGGUCCAAUUAUUGUUCUGUUUUCACUGAAAACCGAACAGAAACUUGAGAUCCGAACAGGUUCUCCCCCUAAUAAACAGCCGUGACUGGAACAUUAUCUCCCUCAUAAAAUGGCGACGGCUGAAUGAUAAAUAGCCCUACAUUUAUUGUAUCAAGUUCAGCAGCCGACAGACCACCGAAACGAACGCGGAAACAAUGAAGUAAAACAAACGCGGGGACAUUGGCCUAAAAUGGAGGCCGAGAUAGAACUGCGCCAUCUCGUCUGGCCCGAAGCCAAAAGCAGACGCCAUGUUACCCGCACCUUAGUAAUAACACGGGACACUUCAUAGCACAUUAUAUACACUGCGGAGAGAGCAUCCAGUCCUACACCCCACACUUAUAGACCAAUUAAUCCCGCGCGACAAAAUAAAAAAGCUCUGAAGCGACGCGAAUACAAUAAAUCCGGAGGCCGCGUCUGUUUAUUAUUCGGUCGCCGGCGGCAUAAAAAACGAUUUUAAAUAAAAAUCCAGUAUCGGAAACCAGAAAUAAGUUCGAAAUACUAAUAAGUAUACAGUUAAAAAAAUCAAUAAACAAAAAGGGAACUAUAAAUCCUCCAUGAUCAGCCUCGCGUCUUCCAGUGCGAAAUAAUCCCUCACAGCACAAUCUACUCCGUAGCCCGGCGGCGGCCGAACAACCUCUGAGGUAAAAAAUAUCUAGAAAAAGGCGCCAAUGUUUUCCCCCGAUCUCUCUCGUCAGGCAGCGGCGCACGGAGCUCAGGAGAAGCAUCGACGGGUCGCAGAGAGCUCGGGCCAUUCCUGACUGGCAACAACGGGUAAUAGGAGAGGGGCAGAGGGGAGGGGAUUGAUAAAGAUUCCUUUUCUUUGCUAUUUUUUCCUCCCUGUCUCUCCCAUCCCUAAUGAUGAUGAUUCCAGGGUGGCGGCGGUUGUGACAGGGGAGGUGGGAGUAAAAAGGGGGGGAAAGUAUUUUAAAACCGGCGCAAAUGAAUGACAGAAGCCUUCUCUUCCCUCCCUACUUCAAUUUGCAUCGACUGGGCAACCUGUGGCCUCCACACGUUAAACUGCAACUCCCACAAGCCCUGACACUGCUACUUCACGUCUGGAGGCCACACUGAGAGAUUGGUCAUCAUCAUACCAGACCCAGUGGAGCUUCCAAAUGACAUUCCCUAUCAUUCAAGCAACACAUGCAAUGAUUAGGAGCCAGUUAACCUGCCUGUAUAUUUUUGGAGUGUGGGAGGAAACAGAAGUACUAGAGGAAUCCCAUGCAAUCUUGAGGAGAACAUGCAGACUUCUUGCCGAUACUGAUUUGGAGUCUGGCAUUUUAUAGUAAAUUCAUGAUAGUGGUUCCCAGGGCAGUGUCCUCCUGGGAAAAAACUUUCCUCGCUUUACUAGUCGAAAUACAAGUAUGGUAUCUGUUAUUCAGAAAACCGUUAUCCAGUAAAUUUCAAAUUAGGAGAAGGCCAUCUUCUAUAGACUCCAUUUUAAUCAAAUAAUUCUAAUUUUUAAAAAUUAUUUACAAAUUGUUUAAAUUAUUUUUCUAGGAGGCUGAAGGUAUGGGGAUUGAAGAACCCCUUAUUCAGAAAACUCCAGGUUUUUUGAAUAACAGGUCCCAUAACUGUAUAGCAAUUUCUACAGAUAGUAAUAAGACUGUGUACUUAUGUAAAAAUGAUUCUCUUACAGUGUGUGAGGUGGGGGGCAGAAGUGCAGCUGGGUGGUCAAGAAAAAAUUGGUGAUGCGCUGGCAAAAAAAACUGGGGAGACCACUGCAGACUGGUGUUAGACCAAGUGGGGCUCAAAGCUGUAGGGAUGGUCCAAAUUACCCUAGCAACCAUGCAUUGAUUUGAAUAUGAAUAGGAGAGGCCUGAAUAGAAAGAGGAGUAAUAAAAAGUAGCAAUACCAUGUAGGGAAGCUACGAGACUUUGGUCCAGAAUAUUUACCUUAAUAGACUCAAUUACAGGACUUAGACUUCGGAAAGAUCCCAUCCAGGUACUUCUUAAUAAAACAA